rnacentral:rRNA from 1 species
GACGAACGCUGGCGGCGUGCUUAACACAUGCAAGUCGAACGGAAAGGCCCUGCUUUUGUGGGACGCUCGAGUGGCGAGCGGGUGUGAAACACGUGAGUAACCUGCUCCUGUCCUUGGGAUACCUUCAGGAAACUGGGGCUAAUAUCGGAUAGGAGCUCUUUCUGCAUGGUGGGGGAUGGUUAGUUUCGGCGGUUGGGGAUGGACUCGCGGCUUCUCAGCUUGUUGGUGGGUAAGUGGCUUACCAAGGCAUUGACGGGCAGCCGGCCAGGGAGGGUGACCGGCCACAUUGGGACUGGGAUAGGACCCGGACUCCAACGGGAGCCAGCGGUGGGGAUUAUUCCACAAUGGGCGGAGGCCGGAGGCAGGAACGCCGGUUGGGGAAUGACGGCCUUCGGUUUGUAAACCGCUUUCGCGUGGAACGAGGCGUGAGUGACGGUAAUGAGUAAAGAAGCACCGGCUAACUACGUG